GUAACUCUUAGUGAGAGCCAGCUGUGUCACUCGUCAUACAGUAGGAGGACUUUUGAUAUGUAUCACUCUUUCAGAUUAGUGCAAAAUCAGUCUUCCAAUGUUGGAGCUAGUCAGCUGAUAUGAUACUGACAUGUGGAGAGAUGUGGAAAAUGUUCCAAAACUUAUGAAUAUAGCGGAUGGUGUGAUCCCUUUAUCCUCCUAAUGAGCAUGUCAUGGAUCAUGAAGGAUGAAGACAAGAAAUAAAAUGAGACGCCAGAGCAGAAGAAGUACUUCAAGAAAAGAACACCAGUAUACCAGCAAAAGGGUCAAGAGUCACCAUGAGUCAUUAAAGGGGGUGUUAGCGAAGGAAACAAACUGUGUACAGUGUCAAAAAAGUAACUUAAUAUAAUGUUUUAGCUUUUCUUGUAAGCUGUUAUGUCACAGACUCUGAAAGCAGUCUUCUCUGUCCCUCCUCCCACCCUCCUCUGCUGUCAGCACUGAAUGAGACAGUGAUGUGGAAUUAUUAUUCAUUAGAUUUUUCAUCCAUUAAAUAAGGCAGCUGGGAGCCCAUUCUUAGUCACAGUAGUUUAUAUCAGAAUGAACUCCCUGCUGCCUUAUCCAAUCAGUCAUAAAUCUAAUGAACAGUAAUACCAGCUACCCCCCUUGACAUCGCUGAUCUUGUCCCUUGAUGAUAGGAGGGAGGGGGAGAAGGGAAUCCACAUGAACUUUGACUGUUUAAUUAA